CAGAAGCCCCACAUGGUACUCUAUUUUGUGAUCUGUAUAUUUUCAAGUAAUCCUCACAACUACUUUGUACAGUAGGUACCUAUAUUAUACCACUGUCCAGGCUCAGAAUAUGAGGAAACUGCCCAAAGUCACACCGUAUUUAGUGGGGGAGCCAGGAUUUAAGCCCUUAUGUCCACACUAUUAUCCAUCCAUUGCCUUAGUCUAUUUGGACUGCUACAAAAAAGUAUCAUAAGUUGGGUGGCUUACAGACAAUAAACAUUUAUUCAUCAUAAUUCUGGGGACUGGGAAGUGCAAGAUCAAGGCACCCACAGAUCCAGUGUCUGCUGAGGGUUUCCAGACAGCCAUCUUCUCUUUGUACCUCACGUGGUUACAAUCUAUCAGAGGUCUUCUUAAUAAGGGCAUUAAUCCUGUUCAGGAGGGCUUCACCCUCAUGACCUAAUCAGCUUCCAGAGUCUCCUCUUCCUAAUACCAUCACAUUGGAGGCUAGGUUUCAAUACAUGAAUUGUGAGGGGAUGCAAACAUUUGUAUCAUAGCAUCCAUUGUAUGAUACUGCCUUCCCGAAUAUCAGCUACUGCUAUUACUAAAAGGUUUACAUUAGCAUUAAAAACUAAGACAGAUGGGUUGUGAAAAUAUUGGUGUCAACAUCACCACUCAGAGGAUAUUGCCUUUCCAUCCCCAAAGCUUUGGCAUCUCUCAGAUCCUCUCUACUUCACUCUGAUGGGACCUACUUGGGGGUGACUAAUCAAGUGUCAAACACUAGAACUUGCAGCACUCCUGAAUUUUCUAGAAGCAUAAGGCCCCCUAGUCCCCAAACACAAGUAUGCACUGUAGCCCACGGGUGGUCAGACCAGGCACAGAUGUCAGUGUGCCAUUUGGAUUUCCUACUGAUGAAUAUUACAGCCAACGUACCCAUCUGGCCGCUGAGAUAAAUAAUGUAAAAAUGAAGAUAUGCCUACAUAAUUCAUGUACUAUUGAUGAACGGGGCCCUUAAUUUAGAUUGCUCCUACAAAUCAUUUAAUUAUGGGCCUCACAAGUAAGAGAGAAACAGCACUUUAGCUAUGUUUAAAUGGGUUUGGUUAGGAUACUUCCAAGUACACACGACAGAAACUCAAGGUCCCCUCAAUUAUUCUAAAGAAAUCUGUGGAUUCUCAUAAGCAUCAGACAAACAUGGUACUGAAUACACAAAACUAUUUUCCUGAACAAAAUGUCAUUUGUUUACCUAUAUGGUAAGGAUUCCAUCAAUGGCCCAUGACCCUUUCAUUAGGAAGCUGUAGAUGGGUGGGGAUGAUGUUGCCAACUAUUCUACAAAUGACAUAUUUCCAGAGGAGACAGCCCAGAUAACAUGAAGCAAACACCUCACACCCAUUAGCAAAGGCUAUUAUAAAACUAAAAGAAAUAAAAACAAACAAACAAAAAAAAAAAAACAGAAAAUAACAAGUAUGGGGAA